rnacentral:rRNA from 1 species
AACGAACGCUGGCGGCAGGCCUAACACAUGCAAGUCGAGCGCUGUAGCAAUACAGAGCGGCAGACGGGUGAGUAACGCGUGGGAACCUUCCCAGUGGUACGGAAUAGCCCAGGGAAACUUGGGGUAAUACCGUAUACGCCCGCAAGGGGAAAGAUUUAUCGCCAUUGGAUGGGCCCGCGUUGGAUUAGCUAGUUGGUGAGGUAAUGGCUCACCAAGGCGACGAUCCAUAGCUGGUCUGAGAGGAUGAUCAGCCACACUGGGACUGAGACACGGCCCAGACUCCUACGGGAGGCAGCAGUGGGGAAUAUUGGACAAUGGGCGCAAGCCUGAUCCAGCCAUGCCGCGUGAGUGACGAAGGUCUUCGGAUUGUAAAGCUCUUUUGGCGGGGACGAUAAUGACGGUACCCGCAGAAUAAGCCCCGGCUAACUUCGUGCCAGCCGCCGCGGUAAAAC